GUAGAACCUGAGGAUAAACAGUCACAAAAAGAGGUAAAAUUAAAAGGAUUCAUUCCACGUCUUUUAUUCUUCUAUGAGAACAUAAACAUCGUCUUUUCACGCACAGCAGCAUUACAAUAUUAAUUUAUUCCGAUUUAAGGAGAGUGUUUGCUGCUUUCUGACGGAGCUGGGGAGAGUUCUUCUGCGGUCGAAGACGAAGCCUGGGCGUCUUCCUCCCUCUGGGAGACGCAAGCCAAGGUGUUGGGGGAAGCCUCCUCGGUCUCUGUCCUCCCCGCUUCUGUUGGGACUGAAGGCAAAGAUGGAGCCGCAUCAAAACGAACUUGGGGCUGCGGUGUGAACUGGGAAGCAACAACUUGCCCAGCAUUGUAGCUCUUGGAAGUGCCAUAAGCUUGAGACAAGCGGAAGUAGCCUGGGACAGGAACCCCACUAGCGUUGUUCAUGGGACAGACCUCAGCGUUUAGCCUUGGAAAAGUAGAUAGAUCUGUGGCAGCUGCACCUUUAGGACAUUUGUCUGAAUCAUAGAGGCAGUAAGAGUUCUCCUCUUUAAUGUUUUGAGCAAAAGAGCAGGAGGUAGCCUGCUGGGUUUCAGGCUCUUCCAGGCGACAGGAUCUUGGGGGCUCUAGCCAGACCUCCAUCCCUGACAUGUAGGGAUGAGAAGUGGGGACCAUGCUUUGAGCAGCACCUUCAUUGCGUUUGCUCAAAACUGGGAAAAGUCCGCAGCUUUGCAACCCAUACGACAAAUCGGAUGCCUGUGGCAAAAAGACACUACUGUUGGGAUAGUAGCCGCCGCCUCCUCCUCCUCCGCCUCCUCCUCCUCCUUCCCCUCUGCCUGAGCUGAUCAAGGAGUCUACCAAAAAAGAGUUUGCAGCCGGGCUCUCUGAGCAUGACAUUGUUGUGGAAUAAUUUGGCGAAGGGAGCCGAUAGCCCUUUCUGGCUGACAUUUCUUGUGCAAAACAUGCUGAAUAUGAUUAGAGAUACCCCCGCACCACGGCAAAUGCUUACAGCCAAUGGAAACCCAAGCCCUACCAGCAACCCCUCCCAGUUUGGUUUCGUAUGCAGAGAGCUGGUCUCAGGUCGACCUCUGUAUUUAGAAUAUAUAUGUAUAUUAAUGUGUAAUAUCUAUUUCCAUAUAGACGCACACCUAAAUCUACCCAUAUCGAUAUCUAUAGGUAGAUAUAGGGUAUACGUGUAUGCGGAGAUACAGAUGCACACUGAAAAGUAUAAAACAAUUUCCUACCUUAUUUUAGUGUUAGCAUACGUUAUACUCUUCUAUUAUCACAUUCACUGCUAUAAAGUAGCAGAGCAGUCUGAUGUUUAUUAUUACCUAGGAUGAAGCGGGAUAUAAAUAAACCUUUUAUUAUCACUUCUUUUCCUACAGUUGUGCUUUCCGGAAGUAAGGCGUGCUCGCCUCCUUGCACAGCAUGUGUUUGUGAUGAUAUUAAUAAAGCCAGGAAUCCUCUGUUUUUACGGCUGGGGUCUGUGACAUUUUAUUUGAUUGCCUACUUUUUAAAAAAAAUGUUAUUAUUUAUCACGCACCAUUUGACGCUAUAAAGGAUUCUGGCUUCUGUAGCCUUAAAUUAUUAAGAAAUUAGCUAUUCCCAGACUAAUAUCACCACCAAAUGUGAAUUACUGUAAACUAGUCUGAAAUGUACUAGAGAUGAAUAGUUGUUGGCUAGAGUACUGAAGAAUCAAUUAAUAACUAAUUCCAUUGUGGCAGAAUAUUGUGAUUGCAUCUUCUAAUACUAUGGUUCACCUUGGAUUUGUCCCUAAAUCUGGUUAACGUUUCAAAUGAAAAGAUAGAAGUCACAGAAAGAAUCCAAAUCUAAACAGUGAAAAUGGAUUCCCACAUGAUACCACCCUCCCUACGUGUUUAUAUAUCGGUACUUAUGUUUUACAUUUUCUCAUUUGAAUCAUUCACUGUGAAUCUGUUAAAAUGUACCGUCCAUUUCCUGAGUAAAAUCCUAAAACAACUAA